AGUGAACGCUGGCGGCAGGCCUAACACAUGCAAGUCGAACGGCAGCACAGUAAGAGUUUGCUCUUACGGGUGGCGAGUGGCGGACGGGUGAGGAAUACAUCGGAAUCUACUUUUUCGUGGGGGAUAACGUAGGGAAACUUACGCUAAUACCGCAUACGACCUACGGGUGAAAGUAGGGGAUCUUCGGACCUUGCGCGAUUGAAUGAGCCGAUGUCGGAUUAGCUAGUUGGCGGGGUAAAGGCCCACCAAGGCGACGAUCCGUAGCUGGUCUGAGAGGAUGAUCAGCCACACUGGAACUGAGACACGGUCCAGACUCCUACGGGAGGCAGCAGUGGGGAAUAUUGGACAAUGGGCGCAAGCCUGAUCCAGCCAUACCGCGUGGGUGAAGAAGGCCUUCGGGUUGUAAAGCCCUUUUGUUGGGAAAGAAAAGCAGCAGGUUAAUACCCCGCUGUUCUGACGGUACCCAAAGAAUAAGCACCGGCUAACUUCGUG
rnacentral:rRNA from 1 species